GCCCUGAGAAGCAUUUUGAGACACACACGGACAACACAUAACUUUAAAAAUAUAUGAAUUUGCAAGAAAAAAGUGUACCAAGGUAAAGGUUUAAGGAUAGCAACAAUGGAUAUUGGACCGUUUUCAAAAAUGUGGCUGGUGCUUUUGGUGUUAAAUUGCCAUGUAACUGAAG